CGACCCUUUGGAAAUAGGUCCCCUUAUUAUUUUUUUCCUUUUUGUUUUCUGGGAGGAAAUAGGUCAUUCACCUUCUCGUCUCGAAAAUGACGAGCAGCAGCUGCAGAUUUCUCUUCAAAAAUGGCUUUAUUCCAAAUUUGGCAGAAACCCCAUCAGUAACAACCGUACUUGAAGCCCACCAAGGUGCAUAUACAACAACUAGGACUCAUAAUGGUGGCUCACAGCUAUUGUUUUGGGAAAGGCAUAUGAGCAGACUCUCCAACUCUCUAAGAAUUCUUUUAAAUUCAAAUCCAGAACUUUUAUUCAGUUCAGAAAGAUGUAGACUCCCUUUUUCCUUAGUAUCAACAAAACCAACUAUGUGGGAUUCAUUGGUUCAAUCUCUUGUGAAUGAUUCUAUGAGAAAAGCUCUGCCUUUUGUAUUGAAAGAAAGAAGAAGUGGGGAGGAAUUGGCCAUUACUUGUCUUGUCAGUGGAAAUGUUGAUAGUUUGGAGGAAUUUGAGGGUUUAGAUGAGGAAAAGAUUUCUACAGCUUUUGAUGUAUAUAUCCAUGUUGAUCCCUAUGUUCCUCCACUCUUUGGUAACCAUGAAAAUGCAGCACGUUUGGCAGUUGUUGGUCAUGGUAGGCGUGCAGCAAAUGCCAAAUACUCAGACUGGGUUAGGCAAAGGAAGCAAUUGGAGAAGCUGAGGCCACCUUCUGUCAAUGAGCUCCUGUUGUCAAACAACGGUGAUCGGAUCUUAGAGGGUUGUUUGACAAAUCUUUUCGUCGUUUGUCGCAAGGAUGUUAACGACGAUUAUCACAAGGCUAGCCAAAGAGACAAUGAAUCUACAGUAUCAGUUGAAUUGCAAACUGCCCCUCUAAGAGAUGGUGUCCUUCCAGGAGUUCUACGCCAAGUAAUUAUUGACAUAUGCUCAAGAAACAAAAUCCCUGUCAGAGAAAUUGCACCUUCAUGGUCAAAGCGUGAAAUGUGGCUGGAAGCAUUCAUUACAACUCCAAAUCUAUUUCUCCUUACAUGAUCCAGUGGAGACUGAGUUUCUAGUAUACAUGUCUGAGUUGUGGUCCUAAUGCUUAAACCUCUUGCCUCAGUUCUCCAGCUCCACUUCAUGCUUAUUAUGUGCAAAUAUAUAAGGUUAGACUCAGUUUAAAAUUGAAAGGUAGAGUAAAAAGUGAGCUCAAUGUGCCAUUAUGAAUUGCAUAUUCCUAUAUAGUUGAAAAGUGAAAGGUAGUGUAAAAAGUGUGCUUAAUGUGCAACCGUAAUUUGUAUUCCUAUAUACAGUAAGAGGAUCUAUUUUUACUGUUAGAAUACUUACUUGAACUAUUAUUGUAGAUAGCUUGAGGCUAUUGCAGCAUGUGGAAGUUAUUCAAGCUCCUAGUUCAUGGGAAUCGCUUGAAGCAAAAACUUGGAGGGACGUAACAUGGGAGGAAAAGCUAUUUGAGCAUGCGCCUGGAAGGAUCACUGCACUCAUCCAGAAGGAGAUCAUGGAAAUGGCAACUGUUGAAGGGUAUCCAGUGGUUCUAUUUAAUGACUGAUAUACCUUUUGGAAUGGUCCCAUCUUCAAAGCACAGCUGGUUUUUCAGUGAUGCAAGGUCUAGUCUUUGCUUGACUAGCUAAACUGGCAUUCCUUCUAAUUGUGGCGUUGAUUACGCCUGCCUGUGAUGAUUUGAUUUGAAUUGAAGUCCGUUCUGCUUUUGGUAUAAGAUGAUUGUUUUUCUGGUAUU